GGGUGACGAUUUUUCAGGGCGGAACCAAAAGUUGAAGAAGUUUGGUUCCGCCCGGAUGUUUCCGCCCCGACCGGAAAAACAGAAACACCGGACAUCCGGUGGCUCCGCGAAGGCUGUAAUCAGCCGAUUGGGCACAGCUGUGCCUAGUUGAAGAGAUCGCCGAGUAAUUGGAUAACUGGAGUACAAAGAGGAGUAUAAAAAGCGCAGUUAGAUGUCAGUUGGUUCGUUGUUAGUGUGUGCUGAGGAACGGAGCUGUGCUCAUUGUCAGACGUGGUGGCUGUCUGUAUUUCUCUCUCUCUCCCUCUCUCACUGUAGUUGACGGUGGACCUGCUGGAGUAAACGGGAAAUCCGAUGAGUAGAAAGGAACUUUGGUUUAACCAGUACUUUUGAAGGAGUAAAGCAGGAAGAAAACUGACCUUGUUGUACAACGUAAACAAAGGCUAUCCGCUGUGAGUAUACUUGUUUGGUGUGGAGUAAACUGCAGAGAUUAACCUGUGUGAUCGUUGGAGUCCUCGAAGAGGAAACGGGCGGCCCUGCCCCUAUAAUAGCGUGGUGGGCGAGCCGCUGGAAGCAUAGAUCCAAAACAGCCACAGCAACGAGACUCUAUUUUGGUCGUGUUUGCCAUCGCCCCUAUUUAGCCCAAGCGCAGUGGAGGACACCGGGCGCUUUUCCUUGUGGUGUUGCACUUAUAGCGUGGUGAGUGAGACUUUACAAAUAAUAAGCUUUCACAUUGGAGUGGUGCUGUGUAUUUGCUGUGGGUUGCUGUGUGUCUUGUAGACGAAGCCCCGUGCAUCCAUCUUCUCUACUGGGCAGAGGACGGAGGGGCUAACGACCUCAGAAAUUUCUGCUACCAUACGCUGUGUGCUGUUUCGGAGGACGAAGGGACGCGGACCAAGAGCUGUCCAGGGCUGGGAGUGAAGUAUUGGAAGUAUUCGUGGUGUACACUUACCUGUGUCUGUCUUUUGUCGCAGAGUCAGAGGCGAAAGAGUCCGCCGCCCCCGCGGUCCCUACAAAGGGGCGCCCCUGUCCAGGAUUCGAUCGGCCUACGGGCAGUGGAGAUAGGGCAGCGCUCGACCCGGUGAGGUGGUGUGUGACCUUCGCCCCUCUGCUGACCUACGGAGAAGAAAAAGCCAUACCUAUCCAGAAAGCUGUAUGCAGCAGAGUCGCGGCCACCUGUGGAGAGAGAGAAGAACGAGAGUGAAUAAUUGAAGAACAGACUGUGAACGUGAUACCUACCCAGAAAGCUGUAUGCAGCAGAGCCGGUGAGAAAUACUCGAAGUCUCAGUAACAGUGUCUUUGUGUCCUAGCGGCCACCUGUGGAGAGAGAGAAGAACGAGAGUGAAUAAGUGAAGAACAGACUGUGAACGUGAUACCUACCCAGAAAGCUGUAUGCAGCAGAGCCGGUGAGAAAUACUCGAAGUUUCAGUAACAGUGUCUUUGUGUCCUAGCGGCCACCUGUGGAGAGAGAGAAGAACGAGAGUGAAUAAGUGAAGAACAGACUGUGAACGUGAUACCUACCCAGAAAGCUGUACGCAGCAGAACCGGUGAGACAUACUCGAAGUCCAAGUAACAGUACCUUUGUGUCCUAGUGGCCGCCUGAGGAGAGAAAGGAGGACGAGAGUGAACAAUCGGAGGACAGACGGUGUAACGCGCUACCUACCCCGAGAGCUGUAAGCGGCAGAACCGGUGAGAAGCAUACCAAAUCCACACUAACCGUGUUUCUGCGUCGCAGUGAGCACCUACGGGGGACGUGAAGGCACGUGGGGCGAGGACCCCCUGCCGGACCGAGGAAAGGUUCACGGACAGUGGAAAAUCUCCUACCAGUCACACCGAAAUUGUUCUGCCUCCAGGAAAGAAGAAGGAGGGCGCCACGGUUAGCAGGGUCCAGGCCGGAGCCUGACGUUUCCCUCUUUCCCCCGGCUUAUGGUGGUUGACACCCCUGUUGCCCUUGCCCCUGUCUGCCCGUGGCUGCAGUCUCCCUGGAGGGAGGAGAAGAAGCCUAUUAGUUUUAAAUUCCCCUUUCCCCAAUUCCCCAGUUCUUUUAAAUAUUUAAACUAAAUAAAGCUUGUUUUAAAUUUUA